GACGUAUGUUCAGAGUUUGAUCCUGGCUCAGGACGAACGCUGGCGGCGUGCCUAACACAUGCAAGUCGAACGGGGUAAAGAGCUUCGGUUCUUUACUUAGUGGCGAACGGGUGAGUAACGCGUGAGAAACCUGCCUCUCAGUGGGGGACAACAGUUGGAAACGACUGCUAAUACCGCAUAACACUUUAGUACCGCAUGGUACAGAAGUCAAAGCUUUAUGUGCUGAGAGAUGGUCUCGCGUCUGAUUAGCUAGAUGGCGGGGUAACGGCCCACCAUGGCGACGAUCAGUGGCCGGUCUGAGAGGAUGAACGGCCACAUUGGGACUGAGAUACGGCCCAG
rnacentral:rRNA from 1 species